UGGCUGAGUGGUAAAGUGCUUGCCUUGCAUGCAUGUGGCCCUAGGUUCAAUUCCUCAG
rnacentral:tRNA from 1 species